GCUGGGCGUGGUGGUGCAUGCCUGUAAUCCCAGUUACUUGGGAGGCUGAGGCAGGAGAAUUGCUUGAACUCAGGAGGCAGAGGUUGCAGUGAGCUGAGAUCACGCCACUGCACUCCAGCCUGGUGACAGAGCAAGACUCUGCCUCAA
rnacentral:SRP_RNA from 1 species